rnacentral:rRNA from 1 species
UACGUAGGGGGCGAGCGUUAUCCAGAUUUACUGGGCGUAAAGCGCGUGUAGGCGGUUUGUCGCGUCUGCUGUGAAAAUCCGGGGCUCAACCCCGGACUUGCAGUGGGUACGGGCAGACUAGAGUGUGGUAGGGGAGACUGGAAUUCCUGGUGUAGCGGUGAAAUGCGCAGAUAUCAGGAGGAACACCGAUGGCGAAGGCAGGUCUCUGGGCCACUACUGACGCUGAGACGCGAAAGCGUGGGGAGCGAACCGG